rnacentral:tRNA from 1 species
GGGGCAUUAGGGAGUGGUAACCCGCCGUUCUCAUAAAGUCGGAGAUCACCGGUUCGAUUCCGGUAUGCCCCU